rnacentral:rRNA from 1 species
UACGUAGGUGGCAAGCGUUGUCCGGAUUUACUGGGCGUAAAGAGCGCGCAGGCGGUCGUUCAAGUCGCGUGUGAAAGCCCCCGGCUCAACUGGGGAGGGUCACGCGAUACUGAUCGACUCGAAGGCAGGAGAGGGUAGUGGAAUUCCCGGUGUAGUGGUGAAAUGCGUAGAUAUCAGGAGGAACACCUAUUGCGAAGGCAGCUCGCUGGGACGUUACUGACGCUGAGACGCGAAAGCGUGGGGAGCAAACAGG